AUAGGUCGAAGAGUCACAAUCACAACACUCAGAACCUACAUGAAUAUGGUUACUGUAUAAUUCAUCCUUUUGACCCCUGUGUUUAGGAUGACUCAGGGUUAAACUGUCAACCCUGAUCAGAUCAUCCGAAUCGUGCUCAACUCAAACAGUCCUGUGACUCUUCACAAGGACUACCCUGGCCAAGGUUUUGCUAAAUUAAAACAUGACUAUACAUAGCUCCUAAACUAGAGUGGUCAAUCCCAUCUUGACACACGCACCGACAAGUCAAGUACUUGACUACACCCAGCAGCCUUCCGUCACUGAAUUAAAAAUUCAGGUAGUCCAGUGUCUAAGUGCAGUGAGUUGCUUGCAAGUCACCGUGACGG
rnacentral:lncRNA from 1 species